rnacentral:rRNA from 1 species
UUAACGCUGGCGGCGUGCCUAAUACAUGCAAGUCGAGCGAACUGAUUAGAAGCUUGCUUCUAUGACGUUAGCGGCGGACGGGUGAGUAACACGUGGGCAACCUGCCUGUAAGACUGGGAUAACUUCGGGAAACCGAAGCUAAUACCGGAUAGGAUCUUCUCCUUCAUGGGAGAUGAUUGAAAGAUGGUUUCGGCUAUCACUUACAGAUGGGCCCGCGGUGCAUUAGCUAGUUGGUGAGGUAACGGCUCACCAAGGCAACGAUGCAUAGCCGACCUGAGAGGGUGAUCGGCCACACUGGGACUGAGACACGGCCCAGACUCCUACGGGAGGCAGCAGUAGGGAAUCUUCCGCAAUGGACGAAAGUCUGACGGAGCAACGCCGCGUGAGUGAUGAAGGCUUUCGGGUCGUAAAACUCUGUUGUUAGGGAAGAACAAGUACAAGAGUAACUGCUUGUACCUUGACGGUACCUAACCAGAAAGCCACGGCUAACUACGUGCCAGCAGCCGCGGUAAUACGUAGGUGGCAAGCGUUAUCCGGAAUUAUUGGGCGUAAAGCGCGCG